AUUGAACGCUGGCGGCAUGCCUUACACAUGCAAGUCGAACGGCAGCACGGGUACUUGUACCUGGUGGCGAGUGGCGAACGGGUGAGUAAUACAUCGGAACGUACCUUAUCGUGGGGGAUAACGCAGCGAAAGCUGUGCUAAUACCGCAUACGCCCUUAGGGGGAAAGCGGGGGAUCGCAAGACCUCGCGCGAUUAGAGCGGCCGAUGCCUGAUUAGCUUGUUGGUGGGGUAAAAGCCCACCAAGGCGACGAUCAGUAGCUGGUCUGAGAGGACGAUCAGCCACACUGGGACUGAGACACGGCCCAGACUCCUACGGGAGGCAGCAGUGGGGAAUUUUGGACAAUGGGGGAAACCCUGAUCCAGCAAUGCCGCGUGAGUGAAGAAGGCCUUCGGGUUGUAAAGCUCUUUUGUCAGGGAAGAAACACCGGCUCUAACACAGUCCGGGAAUGACGGUACCUGAAGAAUAAGCACCGGCUAACUACGUGCCAGCAGCCGCGGUAAUACGUAGGGUGCAAGCGUUAAUCGGAAUUACUGGGCGUAAAGCGUGCGCAGGCGGUUAUACAAGACAGGCGUGAAAUCCCCGGGCUUAACCUGGGAAUGGCGCCUGUGACUGUAUAGCUAGAGUGUGUCAGAGGGGGGUAGAAUUCCACGUGUAGCA
rnacentral:rRNA from 1 species